rnacentral:rRNA from 1 species
AGCGAACGUUUGCGGCGGGCUUAACACAUGCAAGUCGAACGAGAAUCCCUUCGGGGAGGAAAGUGGCGCACGGGUGCGUAACACGUGGAUAACCAACCCAUUGGUUUGGGACAACACCGGGAAACUGGUGCUAAUACCAGAUGUGUCGCAGCUGUCUUCAGGCGGUUGCGAGAAAGGCCCGCAAGGGUCGCCAACGGACGGGUCCGCGUCCCAUCAGCUAGUUGGUGAGGUAAUGGCUCACCAAGGCAAAGACGGGUAGCUGGUCUGAGAGGAUGAUCAGCCACACUGGAACUGAGACACGGUCCAGACUCCUACGGGAGGCAGCAGUGGGGAAUAUUGCGCAAUGGGCGAAAGCCUGACGCAGCCACGGCGCGUGAGCGAUGAAGGUCUUCGGAUCGUAAAGCUCUGUGGGGGGAGAAGAGGAAAGCCGGUGAAGAGCCGGCCCUGACGGUAUCCCCUUAGCAAGCACCGGCUAACUCCGUGCCAGCAGCCGCGGUAAAGUG